GCACCGCUAGCUCAGUUGGUAGAGCAGCUGACUCUUAAUCAGCGGGUCCUAGGUUCGAGUCCUAGGCGGUGCA
rnacentral:tRNA from 5 species